ensembl:lncRNA
GUUUUUCCUGUGCCGAUGGUGGGUUUCGGGGCAGAGGAUGAUGUAUGUGUACAGACUGUAAAGCCCUCUGAGGCAAAUUAGUAAUUUGCGAUUCUGGGCUAUACAAAAUAAAAUGACUUGACUUGACUUGACUAGAUCCAUCAGUAUACACCCUUACAAAACCAUAAAACCGUUUACAGACAUACUUCUCCACACACACACUCACGUCCCCCUUGCCCCACUCCCUCCUCUCCUCCAUCAUACCUACAUCCACUCUUGGCAUCGGGAACAUCCACGGAAGGAUGGGCCCCAAUGCAGUCGCCGGCCCUAUCGCUAUCCCCUCCAAGCCAUACUCUAUUACUUUCUGCCCAAUUGUCACCCAUACAUCCUCAAACUACUCUUGUCCCUCUCCCAACACUCCCUAGUUGCCACAACCGCCAUGUGGCUUUCAGCACACCCCUUCAGCCUGCCCCAAUACGGCAGCGCCAACUUGUCCCUCCUCGAGCUCAGUGGCAAUUCCCCUGUAUCCACCUGCAACACCACUACCGGAGUGGUCCUGAUAGCCCCCACACACAGCCUCAGUGCUCGUGAUUGCACCCUGUCCAAUCGCUGUAUCACCGUCUUGGCCGCAGCUCCAUAAAUAAAACACCCAUAGUCUAUCGUGGAUCUAACCAAUGCCUGAUACAUACACAACAGUGUCCUCCUAUCUGCCCCCCAGUCUACACCUGCCACAGCCCUCAUCAGAUUCAGCACAUUCCUGCACUUCUGUUCUAUAAACUCCACAUGUUUCCUCCAUGUAAGCCUCUCAUCAAACCAUAAUCCCAAAUAUUUAAACUCUAACACCCUUCCCAAUUCCUGUCUAUACAUAUGUAACCGAACCUCCCCCACCCUCCUUCUCGAGUACACCAUGAAACACGAUUUAGUCACCGACAUCCUAAAACCCCAUCUCUUGGACCAUUCCUCCACCACAUCCACCGCCUCUUGCAUCUUCCUCAUUACAAACUUCUCAUUCUUACCUCUCUUCCACAAAGCCCCAUCAUCUGCAUAUAGUGCCAUACCCAUACCUCUACCUACAUCCCUAAACACAUCGUCUAUCAUGAUUGUAAACAACACAGGGCUAAUCACACUGCCCUGUGGGGUGCCAUUAGCAACCUCAUACCUCUCUGACAGUAUUGUCCCAACCCUCACCUGUAUGUACCUGUCAACAAGAAUCCAAUUAUACAUUCUGCCCUCAACUCCCAAUGCACUUAACUUCAUUAACACCCCCUCUCUCCACAUAGUGUCAUACGCCUUCUUUAUAUCAAAGUAUACCACCACCAUCUUCUCCUUCAUAGCAAGUGCCUUGGCUAUCUCUGUGCUAACCACCACUAUCCAUAGAAGACCUUCCUCUCCUGAACCCACUCUGUGCUUCACUCAUCAAUCCCUUACUUUCUAGGUAGAAUAUCAAUCUUUUCACUAUCAUCUUUUCCAUCAGUUUACAUAAGUUUGAGGUCAACGCUAUUGGUCUAUAGCUAUCCACCUUCCCUGGAUCUUUACCCGGUUUAGCAAACGGCAGUACUACCGCCUGCUUCCACCCGUCCGGCAGCACCCCAGCCCUCCACACCUUGUUAAACAGCCCUACUAUAGCUUCCAUUACAUUAUCAGGUGCCUUCUUCACCAUCUCAUAGCAUACCCUGUCCUCUCCCGGUGCCGAACGCCUGCAUCCUACCAGUGCCUUCGUCAGCUCAAACUUAGUGAAUUUCGCAUCCAUCACCUUCAUCGUCCCUGCCUUCUUAUGCAACACAUCUCCCUUUUGUUUUAACAUCUCACAUCUCCUCCUCUUACUCUCGUCACAUAGGUGCUAUGUCCUGUAGGUCCUACACACUCAAUCAAUGACCAAUAAACUGUGUUCCACUGUUCCCUGUGACUGGCUUGAGUCCUUGAACCUAUGACAUGGAAGUCCCCACCCAUGGGCUUGCCACAGAACAUUCAGCCGAGCAGAAAAGACCAUUUUGUCGUUUGGUUUGAGCGGUUUUCUGUCCACGUUGGUCUUGUGACUGUCAACAAACUGACAAUCUUGAUUUUUUUUGCUCAUCUAUAGGAAGCCGUUGGCAAGAGAGGCGUCAAGAGGAAGGUCGCCGCUGCUGAGGGAGGACCGAAGAGACUGGUCACCGAGGAUCUUCAUUUGCUGGGUGUUCCAGCAGGGCCAGUGGUUCCGAUCCUGCAGUUGAGCAGCCGUCUGGCUCCGGCGUCUCCACGGCACGCGGCUCUCAACCCUCCAGCAGUGGCUGUGUCCUCAGCGAUGCAGUCCUUGAAAUGCAGUGGGAAGUCAUUGACCCGAUCAGAGAUUUGGCAAAGGAGUUGGGCGAGAUAAAGACUGUCCUAACUGAAAUAAAACUGCACAAUGAGGGAAUUCUUGAAUAAAUAAUAUAAUGGUUCCACACCUGUUUACAAGCGAUGCAUCACUGCCAAACGCUGACGCACAGCACCAGCAUUUGGCUCAAAUGCCUGGGUAUCGGGGUCAGGGCCAACACCGCCAUCGGCGUCAGGGGGUCGAGGCACGUUUGAAGCUGUGCCACCUUAUGUAGCACAGCACAUGCCAGCACGAUUUUGCACACCUUUUCAGGAUUAAACAAUAACCUCCCUCCAGUGCAGUUGAGGCAGCGCCAUCUUUAUUUUUAACAAAUUUGCAAAACUGUUUUCACUUUGUCAUUAUGGGUUGUUGUGUGUAGAAUGUUGAGGAAAAUAAUGAAUUUAAUCCAUCUUGCAAUAAGGCUGUAACAUGAUGUGAAGCACUGUGAAUACUUUCCGUAUGCACUGUAUGUACUGUAUCAGCGUAUGUAUCAUAUGUGUGUAGAUGACAAUAUAGAACUAGGAGUUUCAUGUGUAUAAUGUAUGGGAGAAUCAUAUAUCCAUUGUUCACAAUCAGACAUUUGAUCAAUUGAAGCAGUGAAAUGUGGAACAUUCAGAAGUUUAUUAAGCGACAAAUAAAUCAACGGAACUUUACGAAGAGCACGACAUGCAGCGGCUUUCCAGAUGUUCUCUGCGUCGCAACACCGUACAGACAGGACAGUAUGAGAGACCUCGUGUGAGACAGUGGGAGACAGUCCGUGGGACAGUCUGCGGGACAGUGGAUGUUCAUAACGUAACGUUUCAGCUCAGGGACAUCUUGUAAAUAAAUUAUUCUUUGUCCUCAGCACCUAUAGCGCUCGUACAGGACGUCAUCGCGGCUAAACGGGUCUUUGUGAUCUCGGAGAAGUCUCUCCCUAUAAAACGUUAAUCUAACUGAUGUCGCUCCUUCAUCAAUGAGGAAGUGAGCUGCCCUUUUUUUCCGGGGGAGUGAUGAACUGCAGCCCAAAUGAACCUGCGCCGGCUAACUCAAUUAGCCACGUACGAGGAACAGGGCCCGGAUCCACUGUCAACACAUAAACAUAAGCAUGAAAACAGUAAAUACGAACCUGCCCACGCAGACCACUUUUUCCUCUUAUUCUCCAAUUGACAAUAUCUGGACUCCUCACCUAAGACCUUCACUCAAGGAACAUUUCAUUUGAUUAUUUGGUGCCCGAAGAUGUGUUUUUAUUUUUAAGUUGAGGGAACUUUGUUUGAGUUGUAUGCCAUUUUCUGGUUCAAUUACAGCAACACACUGGAUGUAGAGAAUGCAUAGAGGUGAAAGUAUACACUCCAUAUAGUAUAAUAAUGUCUGAGUAUGUGCAUCAGUGAUGACAAUUUGCUACUUGAAAAAAAGGCAAUUUUCACUUGAUAGCUUUCCACUAUGUUGGCC